GCCCUGAUGGUGCAGGGGUUGGAGUAAACUGGUGUAUCGGCGGUUCGAUUCCGUCUCUGGGCACCA
rnacentral:tRNA from 1 species